rnacentral:lncRNA from 1 species
CUGUCGGCUUAUCCCUAUCCUCAUACCCAUUGAAGCUAUCACACUCCUCACCCCUCACAUUUCCAAUAACCACCACAAGCAUACACACUUAUCUCAUCUCUCUCUCUCUCUAAACCUCCUUUCAUACCCAUUUUUCUAAUAUACCCGUCACCACCCGUUUCUCUCUCUAAACUUAUUCACACCCAUCUCCUGCACCCAGCAGCCGCAAACCACCCAUUUUCCAUCUCAACCCAUUCGGCUGCUCUAUGAUUGAUGGACCUCAUGGUGACAUGGGUCUCACGACUCUUAAAAAAAUAGGUUUUCGUUGAAGAAGCUCCAUGUCAUUCUAUGGUAUUUGGAGGACGCCCCAGCCCACGAGCAAGUACCUGCUGAAGCCUUUUUGUUUCCCGCUGAUGGCAUUGUUUAAACAAAUUGGUGGAUAAAAGUCAAAGACAUGAGUUUUUUAUAUUAUUUUUUAUUCUCCAUUAGUGGCACGGUUCUAGCAGGCUUCAAGGUGGUUUAUUAUUAUUUUUUCUCUUUUUUCCCACGUGCCAUCUUCUUAAUUCCACUUUACAUGUUAAAAACUUUUUUUUUUUUUUUAAGUCAUGUUAUUAAAUAAUUCUUUUAAAAUCCCAACAUUUCAGAUUCAUUCAUUUAUUUUUUAUUUGUCUAUUUAUUUAUUUAUUAUAUUAUUUAAGAAUAUAUAAAUAUACGUAUCCUUUCUAAAAUAAUAUUGUAAAAUGUGAUUUUUAAAUUUAUUUUACGAAACUUCAAAUCUAAUAUUCAAUUUUCCAAAAUUCCAAUAUUUUAAAUUUAAUUUUUUCAAAAUUCAAUUCUCGAAAUAAUUUUCUAGAACUCUAACUUUAAAUUUAAUUUUCCCAAAAUUCAAAUCUUCAGUUCCAAUAUUCCAAAAAUUUCACUAUUCACGUCAUUCGUUAAAACAUUAUUUUAUUAUUAUUAUUAUUCUAUAUUUAUUUAUUUAUUUCUUUCAAAAAUUCAAAUCAUUAAAAUUUAAUUCUUGAAAAAUCUGACUAUCGAAUUUAAUUUUCAAUCUCAAAUAUUCCACUAUUCACGUUCAUUCGUUUAAAUAUUAUUCUCAUUAUUAUUAUUAUUAUUAUUUUAUUCAUUUAUUUUACAAAUUCUAAUAAUUAAAGUUCAAUUUUUCAAAAUUCCGUUUUCCGAAUUUAAUUUUCAAUCUAAAAAAUUUCACUAUUCACACUCAGUUGUUUAAUGAUUAUUUAAAUAAUUUCUCAAAAUCUCAAUCUCUAAAUUCAAUAUUCCAUCUCUAAAAUUCUGUUUUUCGCAAUUAUUUACCUAAUCUUUAUUAUUUCAUCAUUAUUAUUAUUCCAUUAAUUUAUUUAUUCACUUAUUUGUUUAUUAAAAUUUCGUCUUUAAAUAAUUCUUCAAAAUUCCGAUUCCCAAAUUUAGUUAUCUGAAAUUCCAAUUCUUUUCAAUUUUAAUUUCUAAAAUUCUCAUUGUUAUAUUUAAUUUCUAAAAAUCCAAUUUUCAAAUAAUCUUUAAAACUCCAAUUUUCAAAUAAAUUUCAAAAAUCCAGUUUUCCCUCAAACAGUUUUAAUUUCUAUUUGGUGACGCAUGUGAUAUGUUUUGUGCUCUUUAUUAUACACUGACCCCAUUUUUAUGAUAGUGCAUUGCUCGUUCGUAGCCCAUGUAUACAUCCCUUCCCAUUCUGGUAAUUUUCUAUGCAUGUUUUGAUUCCCAUGUGUGCAUGGUCAAUUUGAGUAUCCGUUGAUUUUCUUAUUGAUCACCACGUCAGCUUCAUCUUAUUAGUAGAGAUCCGACUUUAGGGACUUAGAGGGGUGCUACAGUCUUUACCGUACCUUCCCAAUAAGUAACCUGACCCCCGAGCCCGAUCUGGUUUUUCGUAGAUCACUUUUUCCAAAAAUAAAGAGUCACACUUAGGGUUUUCUUUCUUAUUUUGUUUACCCUUUUAAAAUAAAACAAAAAUAAGUGGCGACUCCAAAUCAUUUUUCUUAAUCAAUAAAAUCAUUUUUCAAAAUAAAAAUUGAGUUCGCCAUCGAAUGGGAAACGCAUGAGCCGAAAUACGGGAUCCACAUGAUGUUUUCCUAGUAUUAAGUUAUUGACUUAAAACUUAUUACUUAAUUCUUAUUUAAAUAUUAAGGUUAUUUGAUAAAAUUAACUUAAAAUUUAUUCUAAAUCAUCAAAUUAAUAUAUUUAUCAUCAUAUUUAAGUUAAAAUAUAUACACUUCAAUAUAUAUAAAACAUGAUAAUUUAUAUAAUACACCCCUAAUUAUUUUUGUUAUUAACUCAUAUAAAUAUAAAAUAUUAAUAUUAACUCUAUCAUUAGCUCCCAAGGAUAUAGAGAAUAAGGAAGUUAGUUAUACGACUAUUUUUUAAAUCAAUUCUGAAAAAUAGUUUUUUAAAACUAUUCUUUAAUAUUUUAUAGAAUAAAGUCUUUUUAGGGACCUAAAAUGUUUUUAAUAUUUUUAUAUAUAUUUAAAAAAUAAUUUUUAUAUCUAUAAUUUUAUUUUUAAUUAUUAUACAUAUUUAUAUAUAUAUUUUAAAAUAACUCUAAAAAAAAUAAGUAAAAACAACUAAAAGAUAUUAUCUGAAAACAUCUAUGUUUUUUGGUUGCUAAAUGUGUUUUUCAAUUUUUUUUGUUUUGGAAAAUAAAACAUUGUUCUUGAAAACAAUUUCCAAACAAACCCUUAACUUUCCUUUUCACCAGCCUUCACACAUGACCAUGUGUGAUCGGAAAUAUCGAGCAUUCUAGGAGUGUAUUAGAAGAUAAUAACCAUAGAACAUUCUAAGUAGAGAUCUCACACAUCAAAGGUCACUAGUUUAAAAAGUUCCAAUGCUCUUGGUCAAGGUUCCUGUAUAUGGCUGCAGACCCCUCAUCCGUGAGGGCCUUUGGUGGACUAAUGAGCGCAUCACCGCAUGGGCAGAGGAACCCGUACUUGCUGUCUCUAAGGACUUGAAGACUCGCCACAGGUGAGUCUUGGAAGAAGAAUUGUAAGAGCAAAUGGGGUUCGUAUGUGCAGGCAGUCCACAAGUUAACUUUGGCUCCGAAAAAGGUGGGUAAUAGUUUUACUGCCAUAUCAACCCUUGUUCACCAACAUAUUUCUUAUAUAAUCUUUUUCCAAGCCUAAACUCUCUCCUAUGGCUUCUUCCAGUCUGUACCCAAGUUGUCGAACCCCCACACAGUAAUUGCUCACAAUGUCCCUAUCUAUGCCAGAGAACUUGAAAUACUUGGAUUUUCUCUUACUUCUUAUGCCUUCAUUUUGGAGAGGAAAAAAAAGAGGAAACUGUAAUGUAACCAAUUAUAUGUCUAUUUGUUGAAUAGAAGAGGCCGGCCUAUGAGUUGUAGGUCACAACAGCCAUGGUGCCCUAUUUUAUAACCUUCAACUAGACAUGGAGUAAAAGGGGUCCAAAUAUCACAAUGCAUAAGAUCAAAGCGUGAAGCAGACAAUUUGUUUGAAGAAAUGAAAGGCAAAGGAAAAUUAAACAUGGUAAAGAAUUAUCACAAAACUGAACCAUCUGUAAUUCAUUUCAUAAUGUAGGAAACUUACAUGAAAAAUGCCAAAGUUCUGAUUAAGUCAAAGAGAUAUUACAGUGAAAAGAAAAAACAAAGUUCUAACCAAAACGAAAAAUGCCAAGGUUCUGAUACAUUACAGCGAAAAGAAAAAACAAAGUGCUAACCAAAACGAAAAAUGCCAAAGCUCUGAUUGUGUGAAAGAAGCAUCAUCACGGGGAAACGAAAAACAUCUGGCUCAAGUCCAGAGUGUAGAGAUUAUUUGCCUGUCUACCGAUCCCAAUCUUUCGGCCUUGUGUAGGGUCCUCAAUAACAUAAUGAUCAGAAUGAAAACUAACAACAUAGGGAUGUUGCUGAGUGAGGGCACUAAUAGAAAGCAGAUUGCAAUGGAAUUGGGGAACAAACAGAACAUUUUGGAGAGUAAGAUCAUUACACAAACGAACAGACCCUGUUCCACCUACAGGAACUGUAUGUCCAUUUGGUAGAGCAACGAAAGAAUUGAAAGUCGGAGUGAAGGGUUCAAAGGAGGCUCGAGAGUAACAAACAUGGUGUGUAGCACCUGAAUCCAAAAUCCACAAAGAGGAUGAAUUGGAAGAGGAAGGAAUGGUCGAGCCACUGAGGAGGCCACUGAAGUCGAACAUGGAAGGUCCAGCCAGUUGUGGACUAAACAACACUUUUAUCUCUGAUGGUUCAUAUGAAUGUAACUUCUCCUCUUCCACAGGUAUCAGGAAAAGCUUAUUAGCCACAUGUGGCGUUUUCUCGCCAGCUUCCUGCAGACACCCGAUGAUUAAUAAACUGCUAACCAAAAUCACAUUGCUUAAAAUUCCUAAUCACAGGUCAGAUCCACACUAUAUUUAGAUAAUAUUGAUCUAUUUACAGUUUUACAUUAUUCUCGAUAAGGCGUGAAAUUAAAUUAAAUUUGAAUACCUUUUCUAAGAUGCGAAGCUUCAGACAAAGAUUGGAGCAUUUGCCAGCAAUGUUUGCCGUAGGAAGACUGGUAGACACCCUCAUUGUACUUGACGAGUCAUUUGAAUUUAAGUCCACGUUCUCUUCCUCAGGUGACGGUGAAACCCGAUAAGCCCCAUGUGAGUGUUUCUUGGUGACUUUCCUUAAGAACUCAGAAGUAAUAUCCUGCUAACCAAAAUCACAUCAGUUUUACAUUAUUCUAGAUAAGGCAUGAAAUUAAAUUAAAUUUGAAUACCUUAAAGAAGCCAGAAGUCAGACCAAGGUUGGAGCAUUUGCCAACAGCGUUUGCCGAAGGAAGACUGGUAGACCCCCUCAUUGUAUAUGACGAGUCAUUUGAAUUUAAGUCCACGUUCUCUUCCUCAGGUAACGGUGAAACCCGAUAAGCCCCAUGUGAGUGUUUCUUGGUGACUUUCCUUAAGAACUCAGAAGUAAUAUCCUGCUAACCAAAAUCACAUCAGUUUUACAUUAUUCUAGAUAAGGCGUGAAAUUAAAUAGUGAUGGCUUCAAACACUACCCAGAAGGUAAGUAGAAAAAGCCUUCUUCAACCUCCUUCCAGCAAAUCUCUGGAUAUCAUCAACCCCACCAUCCAAAACACCCAAUACAAGGUUCAAGGUAACCAUUUCUUCACCCAUUUUAGUUAUUCCAAUUGGGUAUAGCUUCCCUAAAAUCCCUAGCCCAUAAAAGCAGUAGAUUAAGGAAAGAACCCUUGACCACCGGAUUUUUUUCAUUUUACAUUUCAGAUUGUCAAUCAUAAACGAAGGGGUGACAAAUUCCAUGGGAAAGCCUCCAAAUUUGCUCUUUCUCUGCUCUCAGAUCUAGCAAAUUGAGUUUGAUUUUAGAGGGUUAAAGCUAACACGUUUUCAGAUCUAGCAACAUCAGGCUGAGAAGGGGAGACACAAGAACAAGGAGAACACCCUUUUGAAAACAAAGAAGAACAACUCUUUUUUCCCUCUAAAUACUGCAAAAUAACAGGAAAAACACCUUGAAGUUGUUCUCAGAAAAUGGGGUUUGGAGAACAUGGAAAACACGGACAACAAAAACAUCAUUCCUUGCCAAACAUGUUUUUAGUGUUUUUCUGUUCAAGAAAACAAAAAAAACAGUUCUCAAGAACACUUCCCAAACAGGCACUAAAUUAAAUUUGAAUACCUUAAAGAUGCUGGAAACGCGACC